rnacentral:rRNA from 1 species
UACGGAGGGGGCAAGCGUUGUUCGGAUUUACUGGGCGUAAAGGGAGCGUAGGUGGUUAGUCAAGUUCGGUGUGAAAUCUUUACCACUCAACGGAAAGAGGUCAUCGAAAACUGGCUGGCUAGAGUAGGGUAGAGGCAAGCGGAAUUCCUGGUGUAGCGGUGGAAUGUGUAGAUAUCAGGAAGAACAUCGGUGGCGAAGGCGGCUUGCUGGGCCCUUACUGACGCUGAAGCUCGAAAGCGUGGGGAGCAAACGGG